GGGUAGCGGAACACGUACGCAACCUUCCUUUAACUGGAGAAUAGCCCCUCGAAAGAGGGAUUAAUACUCCGUAACAUGAUGAUAAGGCAUCUUAUUAUUAUUAUAGCUCCGGCGGUUAAAGAUGGGCGUGCGCCUGAUUAGGUAGUUGGCGGGGUAACGGCCCACCAAGCCUGCGAUCAGUAACUGGUGUGAGAGCACGACCAGUCACACGGGCACUGAGACACGGGCCCG
rnacentral:rRNA from 1 species